CUAUUGGAGGGUGGAGGCUCGGAGGAGGGAGAGGGUACUAGCUUUUAUACCUGGGUGAUGAAUUAAUCUGCACAACAAACCCCCAUGACACACAUUUACCUAUGUAACAAACCUGCAUAUCCUGCACAUGUAUUCCC